rnacentral:lncRNA from 1 species
ACUACUGCCCUCUUUACCCUCAGAAGUCACCAAACCUGAAGCUCAGAGUUCGCUGGAUUGGAAAAAGGCGCCUUGGUGCUUAGCUUAUCUCAUUAUAUCCCACUUUCUUUUAGGUUUUGACCUGGAGGGUUUUUUUUUUUAUCUUUCAGCUCGUUGAUGCUUUUAAGACGUUUUAUAUUUUUUCCAACACGUAUAGCUGUUUUCUCCUGAUGAGUUGGUUCAACUAAACCAGCUCCACCUAAACUACCUUAAUCAUUUUAAACUCAUGGUCAUUAACCUUCAAGGGGGCAUAAGGGCUCCCUGGUAAUGCUGCUCCCCUUCUCUGAUUCGUUCUCCCACCCGUCUGGAAGACUCUCACAUCUUUCUUUUUUCCUAUUUUCUUCAGAUCUCUUUUCCCAUUACACCUUGUGAGGGAGACCCUGGUGUGAAACCCUGAACGUGCUGAUGCAAGCAGAGGUGUGAAAACGUGCUUGGGUGUUUCCACUUCUGCUGUCUUGGACCCCACUUCUGCCAUGAGAACAUGCACAGCUUGCAUGCUGGAGGGAUGUGGAAGAUGCACAGAGAAGAGCUGAGUGAUCCCAGCAGAGGCCAUCCUAGACCAGCCAGCCCCCAGCGAGCUUGUCAGGGGCAGCAGAUGGCUGAGCGAGCCCAGCUGAGGGUCGCCAAGCAGCCUGUGGACUGGUGAGGAAUAAUAUAUGAAUUGCAGCUGUUUUAAGCCAUGAAGGAUUAGUUUGUUAUGCUGCAAUUGUGGAUUGAUAGAUGGUGUAAGCAGAAAACAAUCUUUGCCACCUGCUCUGUGGAUUAUUUCUGGCUCCUGGAUAAAAAUCCCAAGUUUGGGGGAGGGCUAGAGUGAGUUCUUGUUCGUGUCCAUGUUCAAGUUCAUGUUCACCACCAGUUACUUUCAAGUGUAAGAACCAUCUCUGUUAAGUAAUUAGGAUGUGCAGUCCGGUGUAACAAUCAAAACGUCAAAACUUUAUCAAAGAUAGAAGGUUCUGCCCUCUCCUGGCUGAGAAUGGUGGUGGGGAGGAGGAUGCGGUUGGAGUCUCUGUCUCCUUGCCCGGCCUCAUCAGGCAGUUGGAGCCAAGCAGGAGGGACAAACAAAGACGCCUGUGGCAGGUGCAGUUCCCUUCCUACACUAGCGCUCAGUGGCCCCAGCGGCUUUUCAAACCCGGCUCGCCUCCUCUGGCCUCCUUCCGUGUGCUUCUUGGCCCUCUUCCA